UACGAAGGGUGCAAACGUUGCUCGGAAUUACUGGGCGUAAAGGGCGCGUAGGCGGCCUUCUAAGUCGAACGUGAAAUCCCCGGGCUCAACCCGGGAACUGCGUCCGAUACUGGAAGGCUUGAAUCCGGGAGAGGGAUGCGGAAUUCCAGGUGUAGCGGUGAAAUGCGUAGAUAUGCGGAGGAACACCGAUGGCGAAGGCAAUCCCCUGGACCUGUACUGACGCUCAUGCACGAAAGCGUGGGGAGCAAACAGG
rnacentral:rRNA from 1 species